rnacentral:rRNA from 1 species
UACGAAGGGUGCAAGCGUUAAUCGGAAUUACUGGGCGUAAAGGGCUCGUAGGCGGCCAACUAAGUCGGAUGUGAAAUCCCCAGGCUCAACCUGGGAACUGCAUCCGAUACUGGAUGGCUUGAAUCCGGGAGAGGGAUGCAGAAUUCCAGGUGUAGCGGUGAAAUGCGUAGAGAUCGGGAGGAACAUCAGUGGCGAAGGCGGCCAUCUGGGACAACACUGACGCUGAAGCACGAAAGCGUGGGGAGCAAACAGG